CCCUUAGAUGUUCUGGGCCGCACGCGCGCUACACUGACUACUUCAACGAGUUGUUUCCUUGAUCGAAAGGUCUGGGUAAUCUUUGAAAGGUAGUCGUGAUGGGGAUAGAUCCUUGCAAUUUUUGAUCUUCAACGAGGAAUUCCUAGUAAACGCAAGUCAUCAGCUUGCAUUGAUUACGUCCCUGCCCUUUGUACACACCGCCCGUCGCACCUACCGAUUGAAUGGUCCGGUGAAUCUUUAGGACUGUGGCUGAGGCCUUGCCUUGUGCGGGUCUGGCCGUGGGAAUUUAGUUAAACCUUAUCAUUUAGAGGAAGGAGAAGUCGUAACA
rnacentral:rRNA from 1 species